AAUCUACUCAUGAUCCUAGUAUCAUUGGCUCUAUAGUCUACUCAUGAUCCUAGUAUCAUUAGUAUAAAUUGUCCAGGUGUGACAGGGGAGGUAGGUGACCCACCCAGGGGCAGGAUGAGGAUGGAGGAGGAGGAGGAGGAGUAGUGUAGAGGAGGAGGAGGAGGGGUGGAGCUCAGCUACUGAACAAGGACCGGUCGGUGCGUUCCGACGUGAACUCAUGAAUAGUUCUGUGAUCAACCCAACAAACCAGCAGGACAGGUCGACAUUUUACCUGUUGCCCUGGUUACCUGGGCUGAACACGCCCACCCCAGCUGCUACCAAUCAGGAGAGGGAGUGAAGAGGUGCAGGCAGCAAGGAAUCCUCAGUAUUCUAGUUUCAACAGCCUGCCGACAGACACAGAACCACGGACAGACUAGAGACAGACAGACAUGUCAUUUUUUUCAGGACUUGUGGAGAAGGCAGUAGAUAAAGCUGUGGACCAUGCCAAGGACAAAGUGAUGGAUAUGCUGGGAGUAGGAGGCAAGGACGAGGACGAGGAGGAGGAGGAGGAAGGAGGCAUCAAGAAGUUCUUCUCCUUUGGGAAGGACAAGGAGGAGGAUGACGAUGACGAUGAGAAGAAGAGCGGGCUCAGCCGCUUCCUGUCCUUUGGAGGAGAUGACGAUGAGGAGGAGAAGAAGAAGAGGAAGAAGAAGGAGGGAGGAGGUGAUGGGGACAUGUUGGACUUCCUGUCAUUUGGUGGAGAAGACGAGGAGAAGAAAGGAGGUUUCCACGGCCUCUUCUCUGAGCAGCAGCCAGGAGGUGGAGCAGGAGGCGCAGGGGAGAUGAGUCUGACGGACAGCCUGGGGGAGAUCGCUGAGGAGAUGUCAGCCGAGUAGAUGACCUGCUGUCAUCUCAUCUGUAACAUCUGGACCUGGACCCUCCAGACCCAACCCCUCUAGAGCCAGCCCCUCUACCCCCCCAGCCCCUCCUACCCCUCUACCCCUCCAGCCCCUCUACCCCCCCAGCCCCUCCUACCCUCCUACCCCUCCAGCCCCUCUACCCCCCCAGCCCCUCCACCCCUCCAGCCCCUCUACCCCCCCAGCCCCUCCACCCCUCCAGCCCCUCUACCCCCCCAGCCCCUCCACCCCUCCAGCCCCUCCACCCCUCCAGCCCCUCUACCCCCCCAGCCCCUCUACCCCUCCAGCCCCUCCACCCCUCCAGCCCCUCUCUUCUCCUGACCCUGGGACGCAGUAUUUAUUAUUAUUCCCUCGUUGCUAAUGGCCCCCUGACGCCACGGCUGAAGACUUCCACGGAGCGGAGCGUGUGGAGAGGGUCUUCCUCUGGACCCCAGAGGUAGAAGCUCC
rnacentral:lncRNA from 1 species